AUUGAACGCUGGCGGCAUGCCUUACACAUGCAAGUCGAACGGCAGCACGGGUGCUUGCACCUGGUGGCGAGUGGCGAACGGGUGAGUAAUACAUCGGAACAUGUCCUGUAGUGGGGGAUAGCCCGGCGAAAGCCGGAUUAAUACCGCAUACGAUCUACGGAUGAAAGCGGGGGACCUUCGGGCCUCGCGCUAUAGGGUUGGCCGAUGGCUGAUUAGCUAGUUGGUGGGGUUAAGGCCUACCAAGGCGACGAUCAGUAGCUGGUCUGAGAGGACGACCAGCCACACUGGGACUGAGACACGGCCCAGACUCCUACGGGAGGCAGCAGUGGGGAAUUUUGGACAAUGGGCGAAAGCCUGAUCCAGCAAUGCCGCGUGUGUGAAGAAGGCCUUCGGGUUGUAAAGCACUUUUGUCCGGAAAGAAAUCCUUGGCCCUAAUACGGUCGGGGGAUGACGGUACCGGAAGAAUAAGCACCGGCUAACUACGUG
rnacentral:rRNA from 1 species